UACGAAGGGGGCUAGCGUUGUUCGGAAUUACUGGGCGUAAAGGGCGCGCAGGCGGUCCUUCAAGUCAGAUGUGAAAGCCCCGGGCUCAACCUGGGAACUGCAUUUGAGACUGGAGGACUUGAGGACGGGAGAGGAGAGUGGAAUUCCCAGUGUAGAGGUGAAAUUCGUAGAUAUUGGGAAGAACACCGAUGGCGAAGGCAGCUCUCUGGACCGUUACUGACGCUGAGGCGCGAAAGCGUGGGGAGCAAACAGG
rnacentral:rRNA from 1 species